rnacentral:rRNA from 1 species
UACGGAGGAUGCAAGCGUUAUCCGGAAUGAUUGGGCGUAAAGCGUCCGCAGGUGGCUAUGUAAGUCUGCUGUUAAAGAGUCUAGCUCAACUAGAUAAGAGCAGUGGAAACUACAAGGCUAGAGUACGUUCGGGGCAGAGGGAAUUCCUGGUGUAGCGGUGAAAUGCGUAGAGAUCAGGAAGAACACCCGUGGCGAAGGCGGCUCUCUGGGACGUGACUGACGCUGAGACGCGAAAGCGUGGGGAGCGAACAGG